UACGUAGGGUGCAAGCGUUGUCCGGAAUUAUUGGGCGUAAAGAGCUCGUAGGCGGCUUGUCACGUCGACUGUGAAAACCCGGGGCUCAACUCCGGGCCUGCAGUCGAUACGGGCUGGCUUGAGUGCGGUAGGGGAGACUGGAAUUCCUGGUGUAGCGGUGAAAUGCGCAGAUAUCAGGAAGAACACCGAUGGCGAAGGCAGCUCUCUGGGACGGUACUGACGCUGAGACGCGAAAGCGUGGGGAGCGAACAGG
rnacentral:rRNA from 1 species